AGGAAUGAAGACCAGAGGGGAAGGCAGAGAUGAAGCCGAACUCUAUUCCCCUGCCUUUUUGCUGGCGGAAUCGUCUAUAAGACUGCAUGCUCUGCGAUGAGCCUCCCUUUUGGAUCCCUGUUGCAUGCGUUCGCAUUCCGAGGAUACUGCUUCAAGUCAUUUGAUUUAUUGUUUUUGAUUUCCUCACCACUGUGUUCUUUUGUUUUCCCUUGUUUGUCCAUCACAGCCGUCCACUUUGAUCAUUUCCCUGUAACUGGCCUAGUAGCUCUGCAUUCAUGCGUCCGUCAUGAUUGGUAGUUAGCCACGCCCCCCGUUUAUCUUCCUAUGUAAGGAUAAUGCCAUUCACUAGGGUAAAAAGAAGUCCCCUGUAGCAUAAACACAAAGGGGCAACAGGUGAACCUUGGCUCCAAUAUACUAAAGCAAGCACUUUGACAUUAAAAUCUUUUUGUCACUGCUCCAUGUACACUGCCUUGCAUUUUACAUGCAGUGGUAUUAGGAGCUGUAACUGACAAUGGCAGAAAUGUGUGCAUCACUGCCCUAAGAGUUAAAACCAUUGUAUUCUAUUUAGCAUAUCUGCUAUCUUCUACAGGAACCUUAGUUCUACAGCCCAGUUCAACUAAUAUAGCUGCCUACCCAACAGCUUUGUAGUAGUUAAUCCUGAAGAAAACCCAUUGUUUUUACCAGUGCAGGAAUCAAGUGCAUUUCCUUUCAAUACAUACAAAACCAUUCCUAUCCUUCAUUUAAUUAUUGAAUGUUUAUCUUGCUCUGACAUCUAAUGACAGAUAAGUAAUAAAUUAGAAAUAGUUAUGGCUUCA